UAAAAACCUCACUUUAUAUGCUAAUAAUGUAGCUCUGCUAAUCGUUGCUAAGAGUGGGGUGAAGAUGAAAUUUCUGUAGCCUGCUGGAAUUGUGUCUGUCUGUCUGUGUGUUGGAGGUUUGAAUAUUUCUGGAGGGUUUUGUAUGCUGGUGCUUUAUUUUUGGAGCAUGGCAAUGUGUUCCUCUGGCCUUCUCCCCUCUGCUCUCAGUGCCCAAACACAGGGUUUGGGUUUGGUUUUGGAUGCUGCCAUGCCAGUGGGAUAAGUAAAUGGGAUAAGUGAGGGGUUCCCCCCUGCUGCAGUCUGAUUGUGUCUCCUGUGGGCUUGCAGAGCUCUCCAGCCCCAGCAGAAGAGGAUGGCAGCACAGCAGGGAAGCAGAUGUUAGCAAAUUCUGCCUGGUGUGUCCUGCAAACACUCAUCUGUGAGACCCUCUCACUCUGAGCUAUUUGCCACAGGCUGGUUUAUGGCUUUUUAUUCAGCAAAUAUCUAUCCAUAAUGCUCAAGGAGCAAGUUAGUACAAGUGGCCUGAUAGUUUAGAGUCAGUUCUUCAGUGGUCUAAGCCCACACUUUGUGACCUCUGGGCAAGAGUCCCUGGGCUCUGCUGAGUUGUGCUAGGACAGAAACAGCCAUAAAGGCAUCAGUCUUGAACCCUUCUUUUCUCUUUUUUUGGCAGCCUGAGCCACCAGCUUAUAACAAGUGGUGGCUGGGCAACCUGCUGAGCCAGGCAAAGCGAGGAGCAGGGCCAGGAGAGGCUCCCAGGGGAAUUGCCUGUGGGAAUGGACGUGAGCAGGGCAUCAGCAGCAGCUCCUGCCAGCAGCUCUCCAAGGCAAGGGAGCCUCCUCACAAGAGCUGGGGCCAAGUGGCCCAGAAAUCCCCGAGAACCUGUCACCAAGUGGCCAAGGGUUCUCAGAAGAGCACUGGCAAACCAGCCAAGAUGUCUCACAAAAGCUCUGGCCUAAGGCUCAAGGAUUCCCACAAGAGCUCUGGCCAAGCAGUGAAGGACUCUGAGAAGAGCUGGAGCCAAGUGGCCGAGCGUUUUCCCAAGAGCUCUGGCAAAGUGGCCAAGGAGUUUCACACCGACUCUGUCCAAGGUGCCAAGGUUUCAGAGAAGAGCUUUGGCAAAGAGCACAAGACUUCUCACAAAAGCCAAGUGGCCAAGGACCCUCAGAAGAGCUGUGGCCAAGUGGCCAAGGACUGCCACAAGAGCUCUGCCCCCCUGGCAAAGCAUUCCCAGAAAAGCAGUGGCCAGGUGGAUCAGGCCCCUCAGGCCAAGCAGAGCUGCCUGAAGCCCUCUGGGCUCACCAAAGGGGUCAAGCCCAAGGAGCCUGUGGCUGCCAAAAGGCCUGGAGAGCCCCUGGAGCACAACAAAUCCAAAAGAGUGCGGAAGGGCGAGAGCAAGCCUGGUCCUGUGGGGGUCACAGAGCACUCCUGCAAGGCUCAGCUGGAAGCCAGAGAGGUAAAGAAGCCAAAAAGCACUGAGAGUGAAGACCCAAAGCUGGCACUUCAGAAGCCCUGUGAGGAGAGAAAGGACAAGGGCUCCCCCCAGGCCAGCACCAAAGGCUUUCUGGACCCUGAGCUCCCAGGAGAUGCUCAGGAACGUGAUGCUCUCACCCCCAAUGGCCACAGGUUUGGGGAUUUGCACAGAAAGAAAGUGCCCUCACCUCCUGAGGAGAAGUUGUUGUUGCCUCCAAGGAAGCCAGACUUGAAGAGGAAAGAAAUGAAGAGUCCUGAGGAGUCCCCUAAAAAGAAGAAGAGGGAAGACAAGGGGGAUACUCCCAGGAAGAAAAAGGAGUGA
rnacentral:lncRNA from 1 species